AGUUCCUAAUGGAAGACGCCGUUUGGUGGAUGGCUUGGCUUAGGGGGCGAUGAAGGACGUGGCAAGCUGCGAUAAGCCUCGGGUAGGUGCAGGCAACCUUUGAUCCGAGGAUUUCCGAAUGGGACAUCCCAUUGAGAUAAAAUCUCAAUGAACUCGUAUUAAUGGCGAGUUCGCGAACCGUUCGAAAGGAAACAUCUGAGUAGGACGAGGAAGAGAAAUCAACACGAGAUGCCCUGAGUAGUGGCGAACAAAAGGGGCACAGCCCAAACCGAACCCUCCAUAGUAAUAUGGUGGGGAUGUAGUGUUCUGGUAGCGUUUAAUCACCAUCAUUAUAAGUUGAAGUAGCCUGGAAAGGCUUACCUUAGAGGGUGAAAGUCCCGUAGACGUAAACGUGGUGGUGAUUGCUGCUUGAAGAGUACCUGGCCUUGGCAGUGGCUAGGGAAGAUGGGGAAAAGCAGUCUCCAAGGCUAAAUACCUCCUAAGACCGAUAGCGAACCAGUACCGCGAGGGAAAGCUGAAAAGUACCCCGGAAGGGGGGUGAAAAGUGCCUGAAACCAAACGGUUAAAGACGAACAUUGCUUGAAAGGAGUAAAAGGGGGGCUUGAUCGUCCGCAAGGAUGGAUGAGCCCUCCGACAAGCACCAGGGUAAUGUGUUCCGUCUAGAAACACGGGCCAGGGAGUUUACUUUCAUGGCGAGUCUAAGGGUUGACGCCCGGAGGCGAAGGGAAACCGAAUUCUCGCAGCCCGCAAGGGUAAGGAGAAGGGUCGUAAAAGGCCUGAGCCAUGGGGGUAAGACUAGAAACCGAGCGAUCUUGACCUGGGCAGGGCGAAGCCUGGGGAAACCCAGGUAGAAGCCCGAACGGGUGGUGACGUGCAAUUCCCUCCGUAGACCUGGGACAAGGGGCCAAAAACUAAUCUAGCUCGGUGUUGGCUAGUUCCUGCCGAAGCGGAUCCUAGCCCGGCCUAGGUGGACGUGGUUAACGCGGUAGAGCACCGAUGAGAAGGAAAGGAUCCGAAAGGGUCCGCCUUUUUUUCGAACUCCGAAUGUGUUAACGCGGAAGAAGCCUGGAGGCGGGUUUAUGGGGGUAAGCCCCAUAACCGAGAGGGGAUUAACCCAGACCAGCGUUAAGGCCCCUAAAUAUUGGCUAAGUGUCAAGCUAAAAGGUGUCCUUUUGCAAAGACAGCAGGAAGGUAGGCUCAGAAGCGGCCAUCCUUUAAUGAGUGCGUAACAGCUCACCUGUCGAGCAGAGGGGCCCUGAAAAUGGACGGGGCUAAAGCCAAUUGCCGAUACGUUGGGUCAUGUCUUAAGGACAUGGGCGGUAGGCAGGCGUGGAGAUUGGGCAGAAGCAGGGUCGUGAGGUCCUGUGGACCGGUCUCCAGUGCAGAUCCUGGUGGUAGUAACAGCAUAGCUAGGUGAAAAUCCUAGUCACCGAAUGGCCAAGGUUUUCCUGGCAACGCGUCGUCAGCCAGGAGUUAGCCGAUCCUAAGCACUACCCUAACGGGGAUAUGCGAAGGGGAAACCGGUUAAUAUUCCGGUGCCUCUGGCUCAUCCUCCGCAAGGAGGCACUCACUUUUCAUCCUUGAGAUAGGGAGAACAGGGCCGUCGCCCUGUCUAACUUUCCAAGGUAGGGGGAGUGUCAUAAUGACGAGAACCCGUCCGAGGAAGGAAUGGCCGGCCGUUAGGCUGGUUUUCUCAAUUCUGAGGGACAAUGAAAGGAAGGGUGAGGAUGUGAGCUAGAGUUCGUACCAAGAACCGACACAGGUGGCCUGGGUGAGAAGCCUAAGGUGUAUCGGAAAUAACGUAGGCGAGGGAACUCGGCAAAUUAGCCAUGUAACUUAGGUACAAAUGGUGCCUGCAGCCUUAGUUUAAAGCUGGGGCGGCAGGUCGCAGUAACAAGGGGGUCCUGACUGUUUAAUAAAAACACAGGUGGCUGCUAGUCCGUAAGGAUACGUACAGCCGCUGAAUCCUGGCCAGUGGCGGUACCUAAAACCCGGGUUCAACCGGGCUAAGGGCCGCUUAACGCCGGGAGUAACUCUGACUCUCUUAAGGUAGCCAAAUGCCUUGUCGGGUGAGUUCCGACGUGCAUGAAUGGAUCAACAAGGGCCCCGCUGUCCCCGCCUGCAAUCCGGUGAACCCACGUAAGGUGGACGAACAGUCCAUCGUCUUCCAUCGGGGAGAGAAGACCCUGUGGAGCUUUACUGUAGCUUGUAGUUGUAAUACGGAUAUGAUCGCAGAGCGUAGUUGGGAGCCGCUGAAGUCGUGCCUCCGGGUGCGAUGAAGGCGAAAUUGUAACACCAGCCUAUUGUAUCUGUGUUACUUACCGAGGUGUGAGCCUUGGGACAACUGCAGGUGGGCAGUUCGGCUGGGGCGGCACCCCCUCGAAAAGAUAUCGAGGGGGCCCAAAGGUCGGCUCAGACGGGUCAGAAACCCGUUGUUGAGGGCAAGGCCAUAAGCCGGCCUGACUGAACCCCUAAACGCGUCGGGUUCAGAGGCGAAAGCCGGGCCUAGCGAACCAUCAUGUCCCCACUGUUGGGGGCUGGUGACGACAGAAAAGUUACCCCAGGGAUAACAGGCUCGUCGCGGGCGAGAGCUCUAAUCGACCCCGCGGUUUGGUACCUCGAUGUCGGCUCUUCCCAUCCUGGUCCUGCAGCAGAGGCCAAGGGUGAGGCUGCUCGCCUAUUAAAGGGGAACGUGAGCUGGGUUUAGACCGUCGCGAGACAGGUCGGACUCUACCUGAUGGAAGUGUGCGCUGGCUGAAAGGAACUUGCCCCUAGUACGAGAGGAACAGGGCAAGGCAGCCUCUGGUAUACCGAUCCUCCGACAGGGGGACGCCGGGUAGCUAAGCUGUUGAGGAUAACCCCUGAAAGCAUCUAAGGGGGAAGCCUUUCUUAAAAAGAGCCAGCGUUCCUUUAUGUAUUUCAAUUCGCAAGGAUUGGAACGCAUUAAGGAGUAGGGCUGCCAUAGAAGAUGGCGUUGAUAGGACGGAGGUGUACGCAGGAAGGCCCGUAAGGGCCGACUUGUUCAGCCUACCGUUACUAAUCGCCCAAAUGUUAGGUUCG
rnacentral:rRNA from 1 species